UUGGAAGCAGAUAUCAAACUCUUCCGGAAGUAUUUCUGGGACAGAGCCUUUCUUGUCAAGGCUCUUGAUCAAGAAGCCAAGACAGAGAGAGCAACCAUGCCUUCUGGAGCUGCGGAAACUGAAGAAGAGGUUAGGAAUCUGGAGUCUGGCAGAUCACCCUCAGAAGAGGAGGAGGAUGGACAGCUCGUCAAAAGCCAGGCCGACGGGCCGAGUGAACAGGAAGACCAGGACCGCCUAGUUUUGG
rnacentral:lncRNA from 1 species